AUCUGUGUCGAGCCUGCAAAGUGAACGAAUUUCCUGUUUGCAACCUUUACACGCUCAUCAACAAUUCAAUUCCAUCUAAGGUGCUUUGAGAGAGACUUCUGUGCAGAGCCAACUAAAAGAACCUUAACUCGGCAUUGACUUACUGGCCUUCAUGACUCAGAUUCUGCCAGACUCCUAAGUUUCUCAUGCAAUUUCUGAUUUUGAAUGAAAUGUGCUGAAUAGUUUUUCUUGUGAAACAAAAGCCAGGGCGGGCAAAGAAAUAAUGUCAAUAUAUGCUCUUCAAAGUCACAACUUAAAGUUCCCUUGUGCCAUGGAUCAUUAUCUGAACAACAGGGCAGGCAGUUAUUCAGUUCCCACAGGGUUUGAAGAGUAUUGCUCUGCAAACAGUCGCUGGACGUGCUAAUGUGUAUGGCAGCAGUGAAUUGUUUUUUUCAAUCUAUCUUCCCCCUCUUGCAGGGGGAAGAGAGCACUCUGAGACAACCCAGUCAAAAUGGAUGGAAUGUAGGAGAAACAAUCCUGCAUACUUUCGAUAGUAAAAAACCAUUGAUUAUAGCAAUGCAGUGUGAAAUAUAGCCAUCUAUAAAGACUGCAAAAGCAGCCAAUUCUACUAUGUAACUGAUUAAUGUCAGUCCAUGAUGCAGUGCAAUG